AGCGUACACGGUGGAUGCCCUGGCAGUCAGAGGCGAUGAAGGACGUGCUAAUCUGCGAUAAGCGUCGGUAAGGUGAUAUGAACCGUUAUAACCGGCGAUUUCCGAAUGGGGAAACCCAGUGUGAUUCGUCACACUAUCAUUAACUGAAUCCAUAGGUUAAUGAGGCGAACCGGGGGAACUGAAACAUCUAAGUACCCCGAGGAAAAGAAAUCAACCGAGAUUCCCCCAGUAGCGGCGAGCGAACGGGGAGCAGCCCAGAGCCUGAAUCAGUGUGUGUGUUAGUGGAAGCGUCUGGAAAGGCGCGCGAUACAGGGUGACAGCCCCGUACACAAAAAUGCACAUGCUGUGAGCUCGAUGAGUAGGGCGGGACACGUGGUAUCCUGUCUGAAUAUGGGGGGACCAUCCUCCAAGGCUAAAUACUCCUGACUGACCGAUAGUGAACCAGUACCGUGAGGGAAAGGCGAAAAGAACCCCGGCGAGGGGAGUGAAAAAGAACCUGAAACCGUGUACGUACAAGCAGUGGGAGCCUCUUUAUGGGGUGACUGCGUACCUUUUGUAUAAUGGGUCAGCGACUUAUAUUCUGUAGCAAGGUUAACCGAAUAGGGGAGCCGAAGGGAAACCGAGUCUUAACUGGGCGUUAAGUUGCAGGGUAUAGACCCGAAACCCGGUGAUCUAGCCAUGGGCAGGUUGAAGGUUGGGUAACACUAACUGGAGGACCGAACCGACUAAUGUUGAAAAAUUAGCGGAUGACUUGUGGCUGGGGGUGAAAGGCCAAUCAAACCGGGAGAUAGCUGGUUCUCCCCGAAAGCUAUUUAGGUAGCGCCUCGUGAAUUCAUCUCCGGGGGUAGAGCACUGUUUCGGCAAGGGGGUCAUCCCGACUUACCAACCCGAUGCAAACUGCGAAUACCGGAGAAUGUUAUCACGGGAGACACACGGCGGGUGCUAACGUCCGUCGUGAAGAGGGAAACAACCCAGACCGCCAGCUAAGGUCCCAAAGUCAUGGUUAAGUGGGAAACGAUGUGGGAAGGCCCAGACAGCCAGGAUGUUGGCUUAGAAGCAGCCAUCAUUUAAAGAAAGCGUAAUAGCUCACUGGUCGAGUCGGCCUGCGCGGAAGAUGUAACGGGGCUAAACCAUGCACCGAAGCUGCGGCAGCGACGCUUAUGCGUUGUUGGGUAGGGGAGCGUUCUGUAAGCCUGUGAAGGUGUACUGUGAGGUAUGCUGGAGGUAUCAGAAGUGCGAAUGCUGACAUAAGUAACGAUAAAGCGGGUGAAAAGCCCGCUCGCCGGAAGACCAAGGGUUCCUGUCCAACGUUAAUCGGGGCAGGGUGAGUCGACCCCUAAGGCGAGGCCGAAAGGCGUAGUCGAUGGGAAACAGGUUAAUAUUCCUGUACUUGGUGUUACUGCGAAGGGGGGACGGAGAAGGCUAUGUUAGCCGGGCGACGGUUGUCCCGGUUUAAGCAUGUAGGCGGAGGUUCCAGGUAAAUCCGGUACCUUAUUAACGCUGAGGUGUGAUGACGAGGCACUACGGUGCUGAAGUAACAAAUGCCCUGCUUCCAGGAAAAGCCUCUAAGCAUCAGGUAACAUCAAAUCGUACCCCAAACCGACACAGGUGGUCAGGUAGAGAAUACCAAGGCGCUUGAGAGAACUCGGGUGAAGGAACUAGGCAAAAUGGUGCCGUAACUUCGGGAGAAGGCACGCUGAUAUGUAGGUGAAGUCCCUCGCGGAUGGAGCUGAAAUCAGUCGAAGAUACCAGCUGGCUGCAACUGUUUAUUAAAAACACAGCACUGUGCAAACACGAAAGUGGACGUAUACGGUGUGACGCCUGCCCGGUGCCGGAAGGUUAAUUGAUGGGGUUAGCGGUAACGCGAAGCUCUUGAUCGAAGCCCCGGUAAACGGCGGCCGUAACUAUAACGGUCCUAAGGUAGCGAAAUUCCUUGUCGGGUAAGUUCCGACCUGCACGAAUGGCGUAAUGAUGGCCAGGCUGUCUCCACCCGAGACUCAGUGAAAUUGAACUCGCUGUGAAGAUGCAGUGUACCCGCGGCAAGACGGAAAGACCCCGUGAACCUUUACUAUAGCUUGACACUGAACAUUGAGCCUUGAUGUGUAGGAUAGGUGGGAGGCUUUGAAGUGUGGACGCCAGUCUGCAUGGAGCCGACCUUGAAAUACCACCCUUUAAUGUUUGAUGUUCUAACGUUGGCCCCUGAUCGGGGUUGCGGACAGUGUCUGGUGGGUAGUUUGACUGGGGCGGUCUCCUCCUAAAGAGUAACGGAGGAGCACGAAGGUUGGCUAAUCCUGGUCGGACAUCAGGAGGUUAGUGCAAUGGCAUAAGCCAGCUUGACUGCGAGCGUGACGGCGCGAGCAGGUGCGAAAGCAGGUCAUAGUGAUCCGGUGGUUCUGAAUGGAAGGGCCAUCGCUCAACGGAUAAAAGGUACUCCGGGGAUAACAGGCUGAUACCGCCCAAGAGUUCAUAUCGACGGCGGUGUUUGGCACCUCGAUGUCGGCUCAUCACAUCCUGGGGCUGAAGUAGGUCCCAAGGGUAUGGCUGUUCGCCAUUUAAAGUGGUACGCGAGCUGGGUUUAGAACGUCGUGAGACAGUUCGGUCCCUAUCUGCCGUGGGCGCUGGAGAACUGAGGGGGGCUGCUCCUAGUACGAGAGGACCGGAGUGGACGCAUCACUGGUGUUCGGGUUGUCAUGCCAAUGGCACUGCCCGGUAGCUAAAUGCGGAAGAGAUAAGUGCUGAAAGCAUCUAAGCACGAAACUUGCCCCGAGAUGAGUUCU
rnacentral:rRNA from 1 species